rnacentral:rRNA from 1 species
GAUGAACGCUGGCGGCGUGCCUAAUACAUGCAAGUCGAGCGAACGGACGAGAAGCUUGCUUCUCUGAUGUUAGCGGCGGACGGGUGAGUAACACGUGGAUAACCUACCUAUAAGACUGGGAUAACUUCGGGAAACCGGAGCUAAUACCGGAUGAUAUUUUGAACCGCAUGGUUCAAAAGCGAAAGACGGUCUUGCUGUCACUUAUAGAUGGAUCCGCGCUGCAUUAGCUAGUUGGUAAGGUAACGGCUUACCAAGGCAACGAUGCAUAGCCGACCUGAGAGGGUGAUCGGCCACGCUGGAACUGAGACACGGUCCAGACUCCUACGGGAGGCAGCAGUAGGGAAUCUUCCGCAAUGGGCGAAAGCCUGACGGAGCAACGCCGCGUGAGUGAUGAAGGUCUUCGGAUCGUAAAACUCUGUUAUUAGGGAAGAACAUAUGUGUAAGUAACUGUGCACAUCUUGACGGUACCUAAUCAGAAAGCCACGGCUAACUACGUG